rnacentral:rRNA from 1 species
AUUGAACGCUGGCGGCAGGCCUAACACAUGCAAGUCGAACGAGCGGCGGACGGGUGAGUAAUGUAUGGGGACUGCCCGAUAGAGGGGGAUAACUACUGGAAACGGUGGCUAAUACCGCAUACUAUCGGAUAACCCAGAUGGGAUUAGCUAGUAGGUGGGGUAAAGGCUCACCAAGGCGACGAUCCCUAGCUGGUCUGAGAGGAUGACCAGCCACACUGGAACGGAGACACGGCCCGGAUACCUACGGAGGCAGCAGUGGGGAAUAUUGCACAAUGGGCGCAAGUCUGACCGAGCAACGCCGCGUGAGUGAUGAAGGUUUUCGGAUGGUAAAGCUCUGUCGGUGGGGAGGCGGUAUCCAACGAGAAAGCCACGGCUAACUACGUGCCAGCAGCCGCGGUAAUUC